GGCGGCGUGCUUAACACAUGCAAGUCGAGCGGAAAGGCCCUUCGGGGUACUCGAGCGGCGAACGGGUGAGUAACACGUGAGCAACCUGCCUUCAGCUCUGGGAUAAGCCUGGGAAACUGGGUCUAAUACCGGAUAUGACCUCUGCCUGCAUGGGUGGUGGUGGAAAGAUUUAUCGGCUGUAGAUGGGCUCGCGGCCUAUCAGCUUGUUGGUGGGGUGAUGGCCUACCAAGGCUUUUACGGGUAGCCGGCCUGAGAGGGCGACCGGCCACACUGGGACUGAGACACGGCCCAGACUCCUACGGGAGGCAGCAGUGGGGAAUAUUGCACAAUGGGCGGAAGCCUGAUGCAGCAACGCCGCGUGAGGGAUGACGGCCUUCGGGUUGUAAACCUCUUUCAGCGGGGACGAAGCGUGAGUGACGGUACCCGCAGAAGAAGCGCCGGCCAACUACGUGCCAGCAGCCGCGGUAACACGUAGGGCGCGAGCGUUGUCCGGAAUUAUUGGGCGUAAAGGGCUCGUAGGCGGUUUGUUGCGUCGAAAGUGAAAAUCCGGGGCUUAACUCCGGACUUGCUUUCGAUACGGGCAGACUAGAGGUAGGCAGGGGAGAGUGGAAUUCCUGGUGUAGCGGUGGAAUGCGCAGAUAUCAGGAGGAACACCGGUGGCGAAGGCGGCUCUCUGGGCCUUACCUGACGCUGAGGAGCGAAAGCGUGGGGAGCGAACAGGAUUAGAUACCCUGGUAGUCCACGCCGUAAACGUUGGGCGCUAGGUGUGGGGGACUUCCACGUUCUCCGUGCCGCAGCUAACGCAUUAAGCGCCCCGCCUGGGGAGUACGGCCGC
rnacentral:rRNA from 1 species